UCAUACUUCUCACUAAACUAAGACAGUCUGACUCCAAAGUCAGUCUUUCGCCCGCACGUGGAGAGAGAAAUUUCGGAGUUUCCACCAUGGCUAGGGUUUCUGCUUGCUCGGCGGAGGAGACGAGGACGUUCUUUGCGAAGCCAUUGAUCAAAAUCCCGGAUGAGUUGCGGCACACACAAGCAAUUGAUCCUUCAAAUGAUCCAGAGACUUCGGAUCCGAAAGGAACCUUCUAAAGACGAGGCUAUUUCUUGCUUUCUAGAUUUUC